AACUUUGCACAGUGGCAGUAUCGUAGCCAAUGAGGUUUAUCUGAGACGCAAUUAUUACUAAUUGAAAACUUUUCCCAAUACACCGCCAUGACGAUUUUCAAUACAGUCGGCACUGGCAAUUUUUGACAGUCUCUACGGAGA
rnacentral:snRNA from 1 species